rnacentral:rRNA from 1 species
CACGUAGGGGGCGAGCGUUGUCCGGAUUUAUUGGGCGUAAAGGGCUCGUAGGCGGCUCAGUAAGUCGGGUGUGAAACCUCCAGGCUCAACCUGGAGACGCCACUCGAUACUGCUGUGGCUAGAGUCCGGUAGGGGAGCAUGGAAUUCCUGGUGUAGCGGUGAAAUUCGUAGAUAUCGGGAGGAACACCGGUGGCGAAGGCGGCGACCUGGGUUGACAUUGACGCUGAGGCGCGAAAGCGUGGGGGAGCAAACAGG